GCAGGAUUGACUUCAGAAUAUGACAUUCACAGAUUAUCUAUUCCAAAAAAUCAGUAGUUCAUUCGCUUAUCUCCCAUCUAUUUAUAGGUCAUUUACAAGCUUUCAAGCAUAAUAUAUUAAUGCCCCCAUUUACAUGAAAUCAAUGGUGAACACAGAUGCGUAAAAUACUAUAACACUUUUUGAUUUACCAAUUACAACCCUCCUCCUUUAUCCGGGCU
rnacentral:misc_RNA from 1 species